UUUUUUUUCUAUCGAUCAUUUUGUUGUAAGAAUAAUUACGCAUUAUCUUAUCGAACGUGGGUAUACACGUCUACGAUUAAUGAUAAAAGAAGAAAAAAAAAUAUUUUCCUUCUUAUCGCGCGGCAUAAGAGAUGUUGGAUCGAAACAUCGAUUAUUUAACUCUCCUCGACAUAUCAUUUAUGACGACGGAUUUAAAGGCGCGUAAGCAGAAGGAAACGUAAGGAAAAGAAAUAUAUAAGAUGAGAAGAGGACGAAGAAGAAGAAGGGUGAAAAGUUAACGCCAACGAAAGAAAGAAAGGAGAAUGAAACCGAUUGUUUCUGAUUUGCUAGAGUAACAUUCGUAAUGGCCGAAUAUUAUCCUGGUUCUCUGCCGUGACGGCUGGCAUAAAAUAUAUUUUUGGUAGCGGUUAUUUUUGUCCAAGCCCCCGCGAACGUUGGCCAAAGAAGAAGAGAGCCGAAGUACGCGCGCAUCUCGGAGAAACGAAUAUGACGAGAAGGGAGGAAGGGAAGGAGGGAGAGAGAGUUUCGAUCGUAUCGGACGAGAGAAUCUUUGCGAAUCUAAUGACCGUGUAAUCAAACAAAAAAAGAAAAGAAGAAAAAGUAUCGUUCGCUAGGGUAUGACCUCUGCACCUAAUGCAGAAGCUAACUUCCGAGCGGGAAGUGACGUCAUCGGAUCAAUUAGAACGUUCCAGUUCGCUCAUAAAGACCUCGAAAGAGCCUCCAAAUACCAGCCACUUCCUGCCCGUUAUUCUCUCCAAGAUAUAUACACCGAUCUCGUAUACGUUUGCACGUAUACGACGGCGCCGAUUGCAUAAAAUCGUGAACCAGAUUUGCAUCUUGCCAAGUUGCGCAAAACAUCGUGACGUACGAAAUAUGCACGAUGAGUCAGCCAUAAUAAUUUCAUCUCGUCACUACUAUAACUUUUCAUGCCGAUCAUCUUGGAAUUUGUUCUUCCACAUUAAGGGGGG